rnacentral:rRNA from 1 species
AUUGAACGCUGGCGGAAUGCUUUACACAUGCAAGUCGAACGAUGAACCUUAGCUUGCUAAGGGGAUUAGUGGCGAACGGGUGAGUAAUAUAUCGGAACGUGCCUUGUAAUGGGGGAUAACUAGUCGAAAGAUUAGCUAAUACCGCAUACGCCCUGAGGGGGAAAGUAGGGGAUCUUCGGACCUUACGUUAUAAGAGCGGCCGAUAUCUGAUUAGCUAGUUGGUGGGGUAAUGGCCUACCAAGGCGACGAUCAGUAGCUGGUCUGAGAGGACGACCAGCCACACUGGAACUGAGACACGGUCCAGACUCCUACGGGAGGCAGCAGUGGGGAAUUUUGGACAAUGGGCGCAAGCCUGAUCCAGCCAUGCCGCGUGAGUGAAGAAGGCCUUCGGGUUGUAAAGCUCUUUCGCAAGGGAAGAAAACUUACCAUCGAAUAAAUGGUGAGGCUGACGGUACCUAGAUAAGAAGCACCGGCUAACUACGUG